rnacentral:rRNA from 1 species
GACGAACGCUGGCGGCGCGCCUAACACAUGCAAGUCGAACGAGCGAGAGAGAGCAUGCUUUCCCGAGCGAGUGGCGAACGGGUGAGUAACGCGUGAGGAACCUGCCUCAAAGAGGGGGACAACAGUUGGAAACGACUGCUAAUACCGCAUAAGCCCACGGCUCGGCAUCGAGCAGAGGGAAAAGGAGCAAUCCGCUUUGAGAUGGCCUCGCGUCCGAUUAGCUAGUUGGUGAGGUAACGGCCCACCAAGGCGACGAUCGGUAGCCGGACUGAGAGGUUGAACGGCCACAUUGGGACUGAGACACGGCCCAGACUCCUACGGGAGGCAGCAGUGGGGAAUAUUGCACAAUGGGGGAAACCCUGAUGCAGCGACGCCGCGUGGAGGAAGAAGGUCUUCGGAUUGUAAACUCCUGUUGUUGGGGAAGAUAAUGACGGUACCCAACAAGGAAGUGACGGCUAACUACGUGCCAGCAGCCGCGGUAAAACGUAGGUCACAAGCGUUGUCCGGAAUUACUGGGUGUAAAGGGAGCGCAGGCGGGAAGACAAGUUGGAAGUGAAAUCUAUGGGCUCAACCCAUAAACUGCUUUCAAAACUGUUUUUCUUGAGUAGUGCAGAGGUAGGCGGAAUUCCCGGUGUAGCGGUGGAAUGCGUAGAUAUCGGGAGGAACACCAGUGGCGAAGGCGGCCUACUGGGCACCAACUGACGCUGAGGCUCGAAAGUGUGGGUAGCAAACAGGAUUAGAUACCCUGGUAGUCCACACCGUAAACGAUGAUUACUAGGUGUUGGAGGAUUGACCCCUUCAGUGCCGCAGUUAACGCAAUAAGUAAUCCACCUGGGGAGUACGACCGCAAGGUUGAAACUCAAAGGAAUUGACGGGGGCCCGCACAAGCAGUGGAGUAUGUGGUUUAAUUCGACGCAACGCGAAGAACCUUACCAAGUCUUGACAUCCCUUGACAGACAUAGAAAUAUGUAAUCUCUUCGGAGCAAGGAGACAGGUGGUGCAUGGUUGUCGUCAGCUCGUGUCGUGAGAUGUUGGGUUAAGUCCCGCAACGAGCGCAACCCUUAUGGUCAGUUACUACGCAAGAGGACUCUGGCCAGACUGCCGUUGACAAAACGGAGGAAGGUGGGGAUGACGUCAAAUCAUCAUGCCCUUUAUGACUUGGGCUACACACGUACUACAAUGGCGUUAAACAAAGAGAAGCAAGACCGCGAGGUGGAGCAAAACUCAGAAACAACGUCCCAGUUCGGACUGCAGGCUGCAACUCGCCUGCACGAAGUCGGAAUUGCUAGUAAUCGUGGAUCAGCAUGCCACGGUGAAUACGUUCCCGGGCCUU